AAGUGGAGAAAAAAUAUCCAAUGUAACAUUAGAAAAUAAUUUGAGGAUGCACCAGAGUAUGUUUUUUUUUUUUUGCUAUUAACAAUUGAGCUCCAUACACACUACUAUGGGCAUAUCAAAAAAUCGCAUAGGCAACAAAAUACACAGGAGCAUCAUCAUCGGGCACUUUUUUAUAUUUCGCAGAUAUAUAACAUUAUAAAGAUAUGAAGACCAAAUCCGGUUUCUUUUUCCUUUUUUUCGUUCAUUUCAUAAAAAUCCAAAUCACUUUUACCAUGCUGCAGCAUUCUGACACCUAAGUUAUGAUAUCUCCAAACUAAUGUUAUAAAAAAUGCAGUGCAGAGCUGCAAGAAAUGCCAAAGCAUUAUUAACUUACACUGGCAUUAUUGAAGAUUAGAUAGGAUACUCCCACUGAUCCACAUUUCAGUCCAGCCACACUACCUG
rnacentral:lncRNA from 1 species